rnacentral:lncRNA from 1 species
AUCUUCUUCUUCCUCUUUUAUUAUCUACUGGCAAAAAUCUCUCUUAAAAAUCUUUUUUCCCUUUUCUUCAUCACUUUUUUUUUUCUUUUAUUUCUAGCUUCUUUUUCGUUUAAUCCUUAUUCUCUCAAAUUUUCAAAAUUACUCUGAAAUUUUUGAAAACUUUCAAAAUUUAGUUUUCUUUGAAUUUUCAGUUCAUCACUAGUAAGAU